GAGAGCGUAGCUCAGUUGGUAGAGCACCGCCCUUUUAAGGCGAUGGUCCCGGGUUCGAGCCCCGGCGCUCUCA
rnacentral:tRNA from 1 species